rnacentral:tRNA from 1 species
CAGAGGGUAGUUUAGUGAAAAUAUUAAUUUUGGGGAUUAAAGAUAAAAAUUUAAAUUUUCCUCUGA